AUGCGUUUUCAAUCUCUACACUAUGUUGCUUUUAAUGAAAAUCUUAGAAAAAGGGUUCCUACCAAUGUUUUAGUUGAUAGAAUUUCUAAACUUAAUGAUGAUUUGGCUAUUCUAAAUAAUGAACUAGGAUAUUCUCUUGAAUAUAGGAUCACAAGGUUCUGUCAAAAGAAUGCUUAUAAUGAUGAAUUGGUUGUGCAUUAUGAAGGACCAAAGGAGGAACCUAUACCUCCCAAGGUUGAUCUUGGGGACUUUUGUCCCGUUAAAUUUAGUCCUUUUGAUUACUUUUUCUUGCCUCAAAGAAAACUUGCUGCCGAACGUAGAGAAUAUGAAAUGAGUUUUAAUAAUCUAUCUUACUAUUAUGGCAAUACCUAG
rnacentral:rRNA from 1 species